GUGCAUUUGAAGCCAGCCUGGUCUACAAAGCAAGUUCCAGGAUAGCCAGAGGAGGGAUCAGCUAUGCGGGCCUCUGCAAGAACUGUGAUGACAUCUUCAUUUGUGGUACCCCUUUCAGGAGGAACUCAGGUGAAGUUCUACUUUGGAAGUCUGCAGUUCUUAAUAAACCCACCCCCUCCCCGAGUCCAGUCCAAGUGGCACCUACAGGAGCACCCAGCACAACAGUGUCCAGGGACUAUGGCUUCUGCGCAGGUUCAACAGAAAGUGCCCUGCACCCUUCAUGUGUGUUCAGCCACGUUCCCUGGGAGCCAUUCCCAGGGUGUCCUCAGAGAUUGAACCCAUGCCCAAGGGAAACUGUAUCUGACCUGAUUGCUAAAUCUGUUAACAUGUUAUAAUUUGGGUUGUUGUUAAUUUUAACUUUCUGUCCUCUAAAAAGUCAGUGCUUCCCUUUUCCAACUUUUGAUUUUGAUAGAAUUUUUACUGACAAAUAAAUUACAGAAAUUA